UGAGAAAAUGUUAAUUUGCGCUUCAGCGCAUCGUAGCCGCCAGCCUCAUCUCCUGAAUCGUUACCUCGUUAUAACUGUAGGUCAGUAAAAGUAGAUUCUUCAUACCCUGGAUCUUCAGAGACUUUAACUUAAUCCUCUGAACUUUACAAAAUACGACUCUGUGCGUUUCCCGAUGUUAUUGUCACCUUGAAGUAGAUGAAUGGCAUCUUCGUUUUGGCGACACAAGGAGUACUUGACUAUAUGGCAUCGUCGGAUGUCUGCGUCUCUUCGACGUCCUUGACACUCAUCUCGGCACCGUCUUCUUGCUGCUUUCCCGCCACUCCACAGGAGACAGACACCAAUCCGUUUUCUCCCCCCAAAAACCACAGUUUUGUGCGAA
ensembl:ncRNA F37B12.6 ncRNA